UACGUAGGCUGAAAAUUAAGUCAGUAGUGAAAUCCUGCAGCUUAACUGUAGAACUGUUAUUGAUACUGGUUUUCUUGAAUAUAGUUGAGGUAGGCGGAAUGUGUAAUGUAGCGGUGAAAUGCUUAGAUAUUACACAGAACACCGAUUGCGAAGGCAGCUUACUAAGCUAUGAUUGACGCUGAGGUACGAAAGCGUGGGGAGCGAACAGGAUUAGAUACCCUGGUAGUCC
rnacentral:rRNA from 1 species